rnacentral:misc_RNA from 1 species
GAGAGAGAGAGAGAGAGAGAAUAUUGACGACACCACAUACUUUGCAAAGAUUUUUCUCUAAGAUAUUGCAUUGUAACCAAAUAAUGCUCUAGACAAUAAACAUGCACAAGAUACAAAUAUUAGGCCUCAUACUCGAAGAAAAUUUCAUACCCAUGUUGAAUAUCAACAUGACUUAGAAAUUCAUUCCUAACUUCAAUGAAAAAUAGGGAAAAAUUGUAUAUCAAUAUUACAUUUGUGAUUAGAAUAAAAUAUUCAACCCAAUAGACUUUGUGUAAAUCAUAAACCUAGUAAAUAAAAUGAAUGCUUCAGACUAGCAAUUGAACGCUAUGAUCCUUAUGCAAAACAAGCAAAAGCCUUACUUUGUAAGGACUGACAAAAUGCUGAACUAAAUCAUGCCAAGCCCCAUGUCUUGUCUUAGCCAGAACCUUAAAGAUUUCUUAUGCAUAUAAAUACCUAUCUGUGCUUUUACACUCUCCCUCCCUCUCUCUAAAAUUUUUUUGAACUCCUACAAAUGCAAAUUAGUUUGGGUAGGACACAAGUCUGAUUUCUUUUCCUGGGUUGCUAAGGCCAUGGUGAAGCCUAUUGCACGUAAAUAAUAAUAAUAAUAAUACGUCCUAAAUUUUUAUGCGCACAAUAAUGCAGAUUGACUCAAGUAUGGCUUAAGUUUGCUUUCUUUGGCUGAGAGGUAAGGUAUUGGUCAACUCCCCUAUUAUCCAUACACCAAUAGGACCACAGAACAAAGAGAAUGUAAGCUUUGCAAAAUCACCAGCAUUUUAUUUAAAAUCUACUUUUUCUGAAGGAAAAUGAAAGCACCGUUGGUAAUGUUGCUGGAGCAUAUGUAUCAUCAUCUUCUGCGAUAACAAGCACUUCAUCACCUUCUUGCAAUGUGUACGAAUCAUCAGGAUUCAGGAUAAUCUUACCACCACAUGAUGCAACUUUGACCCCACAUGGUAUGGCAUCAGGAAAACUGAUUAAUACGUCCUCAAAUUGCAUACCAUCCAACUGUGGCCACCCUUUUAUGUAAAACUCGCAAUUUUCAAACCCAAGGAUAUCUUCCCAGAUCUGUGCGAGUCCUGGCUGCCGCGCACAUUGAAUCAUCAAGCGACCAAUGACAUCAUGAGCUACAACAGUUUCAACAAGAUCUCCACCAACAAGUUUUACAAGGACCUCAUUGUCAAGGUCACUGAGUUCAACCACAAUGUGCCCUCUCAGGCCUUCUUUCACUCCCGUCAGACUUAAAACUGUUCUCAAUGCACGAGCAUCACUCUGGUCAGCAUUUCCAUCUUCGGCAAGGACAAUUAUUGCACGGGCCUUGGAGACAGAUACCUUUUUAAGGUCAGCAAGAAUCAGAGGACUUCCGCUUCUGCAUAUGACUUUAGUCCCUUUGAAGUCAAACUCCAUUUUAGCAAUGUCCAUUUCCAUCUCCUCUUUGUCUCGUUCAGCCAUCACUACAACAAUCCCUCCGCCCAAACUCUCAUUGGCUAUGGCAAGUUGGUUCAACAAUGAUCCCAAACAAAAAUGGCUUGGGCCAUUUUGGUGAUGCGGAGCCCAAUUUCAAGCUUAGUUCAACCUGUAGCCUGCAAGUUUGAUAUUCAGACUCUUAGGUCCAUAAUUCUCAAC